AUGAAUAUGAAUCCAGGAUCUACAGUGAACAGUAUCUCUGAAUAGUGUUUAUUCUUCUAGAUUACCCGAACCUGAGCAUCACAAUGGCUGGAUUAUGGGCACUUUCUGGAGGAAGCAACAACUCUGUUUUGACUUUGGUGGGCUCCUUAUUUUCUCCAUGUGUGGCUCUGCUAGAGUUUAAUCUUUGUGAUUUAGGAAGGAUCUGGAUUUGUGAUGACAGCUUAUCAGUAUUUGCAAGUUCUCCUGCGCUGCCUGAAUCCCCCCUGAAUGCUGAGUUCACGGAG
rnacentral:lncRNA from 1 species